UUCAGCUGUCUCUUUUCACAGCUGAUACCUGAAGCCAAUAAAAGGCAACGGUAGAAAUGUGCUAACUUGUAAAUAGGAUUUCUCCAGGCUGUUAUGAUGCAAGUGUUUUUCAGCAAUUGUUCAAGGGUUACCUUGAAGGCAGAGGGCUCUUUAGAAUACUAACUCCCUGAUCUGUGAAUGGCUGAAAGCCUAGUUGGAGAGCCUUAGGUCAGAGAGCUGGUUACCCUUUCCUCGAACUGUGGUGGAGGCUUGAAGAUGGAUUUAAAACAGGUUCAGCCUUCCUGAUUGCUCCAAAUUGAGGCUGCACUCCUCUGUGUGAUUCUGAUGGGUGUGGGGAGGACUUAGCCUCCAAAUCACAUCCCAGAAGGACUCUGAUAUGCACAAUUCUAUUUGGGUCCAUCAGCCAUUCUAAGUACUGAACUUUUCAAAUGUAAAUAAUGUAGGCUGAUGUCCUUCUAUAACUCCACUUGCCUGAUUACACAGCUCUCUUGGCUCAUGUUCCUUGGGUUAUUAAACUGUGAAGGAUA